CAAUAUAAUAAAAUUUUUCAACCCCAAGCAAUAUCGCAAACCCAAAGUCAGUAACAGCGUAUCUGGAGUUUUCAAUGAACCCGUCAUACAUAUCACAAUAAAUGCAAUCAGACAGCAACAAAAUGAGAUACAACUUAUGAACGAUCGACUGACUGCAGAGCAUGAAAAAUGGCAUGCAUUGGUUUUGGAAAAUAAGAAGUAUCUUGCUGCAAUGGAUCAACCGGACCGGAAGGAUAUCCGAUCACAUAAGCCCUUAAUUGCAAGAACUGGCAAAGAAACUAACGUUUCCUAAAAAUUAUAUAUAAUAGUUAAGUAAAUAUGUAUAAUCUAUUGCGUUUUUUAUGUGGGUUCAUCUGUUACAACUGAUGAAGAGUACAUUCUUGCUCAAUAUGAGCGGGGAGAACAAAUAACUGACUAGCAGCAAUGCAAAGGAAUGUAGGGGUACAAUAUGGAAAGGAAUGCUGCGUUUAUACAUAAAAAAAAA